AUUUUACAGGCAAAGGAUUAAUGACUCUUGGGUUUCACACAGAAUGCAUGUCUGCCACUGCUGGUUCUUAUGGGUACAUUGCACUAGAUCAACCAAGAAGGUAUCUUUUAUGUUGCAGGAUAUGCAUACACACCAAAGGUAUUGCAAGAUAUUAAGAACAAGGGUUACAAAGGAAAAUGGCUUUAAAAGUAGAAAAUUGAAGAUUAUUUAGGCUAAAAGAUAUAUUUUGGUGUGUGUUUGUUGGUGUUUGAACCGAGACUUCUUUUUAUUCAGUUGUUCCGAAUAUCGAUGAGUUUCCAGC